rnacentral:rRNA from 1 species
CCUACGGGAGGCAGCAGUGGGGAAUAUUGCGCAAUGGGCGAAAGCCUGACGCAGCGACGCCGCGUGGAGGAUGAAGGUCUUAGGAUUGUAAACUCCUGUCAGAUGGGAAGAAAGUACUAUGUUUAAUAGAUAUAAGAAAUGACGGUACCAUCAGAGGAAGCACCGGCUAACUUCGUGCCAGCAGCCGCGGUAAUACGAAGGGUGCAAACGUUAUUCGGAAUCACUGGGCGUAAAGGGUGCGUAGACGGUAUGUUAAGUUUGUUGUUAAAGGCUUCGGCCUAACCGGAGUUCUGCAAUGAAAACUGGCGUGCUAGAGGGUGAGAGAGAGAAGUGGAAUUCCUGGAGUAGCGGUAAAAUGCGUGGAUCUCAGGAGGAACACCGAUGGCGAAGGCAGCUUCUUGGCUCAUUCCUGACGUUGAGGCACGAAAGCGUGGGGAGCA